GGCGAUCAGAUACCGCCCUAGUUCUAACCGUAAACGAUGACAACCAGCGAUUAGUCGGCGUUAAUAUAUGACCCGACUAGCAGCUUCCGGGAAACCAAAGUUUUUCGUUUCCGGGGGAAGUAUGGUUGCAAAGCUGAAACUUAAAGGAAUUGACGGAAGGGCACCACCAGGAGUGGAGCCUGCGGCUUAAUUUGACUCAACACGGGAAAACUCACCCGGCCCGGACACCGUAAGGAUUGACAGACUGAGAGCUCUUUCUUAAUUCGGUGGGUGGUGGUGCAUGGCCGUUCUUAGUUGGUGGAGCGAUUUGUCUGGUUAAUUCCGAUAACGAACGAGACUCUGGCCUAUUAAAUAGGCGAUAUAUAGAAAAGUAUAUCGAACUUCUUAGAGGGACAAGCGGCGUCUAGCCGCAUGAAAUAGAGCAAUAACAGGUCUGUGAUGCCCUUAGAUGUCCGGGGCUGCACGCGCGCUACACUGAAAGAGUCAGAGUGCGUUUUACCUAGUUCGGAAGAACCGGGUAACCCAAGUAAAUUCUUUCGUGCUUGGGAUAGAGAAUUGCAAUUAUUUCUCUUAAACGAGGAAUUCCCAGUAAAUGCGGGUCAUAAGCUCGCGUUGAUUACGUCCCUGCCCUUUGUA
rnacentral:rRNA from 1 species